rnacentral:rRNA from 1 species
UCCGUAGGGCGCAAGCGUUAUCCGGAAUUAUUGGGCGUAAAGAGCUCGUAGGCGGUUUGUCGCGUCUGCCGUGAAAGUCCGGGGCUCAACUCCGGAUCUGCGGUGGGUACGGGCAGACUAGAGUGCAGUAGGGGAGACUGGAAUUCCUGGUGUAGCGGUGAAAUGCGCAGAUAUCAGGAGGAACACCGAUGGCGAAGGCAGGUCUCUGGGCUGUAACUGACGCUGAGGAGCGAAAGCAUGGGGAGCGAACAGG